rnacentral:rRNA from 1 species
GGGGGAAGGUAGCUUGCUACCGGACCUAGCGGCGGACGGGUGAGUAAUGCUUAGGAAUCUGCCUAUUAGUGGGGGACAACAUCUCGAAAGGGAUGCUAAUACCGCAUACGUCCUACGGGAGAAAGCAGGGGAUCUUCGGACCUUGCGCUAAUAGAUGAGCCUAAGUCGGAUUAGCUAGUUGGUGGGGUAAAGGCCUACCAAGGCGACGAUCUGUAGCGGGUCUGAGAGGAUGAUCCGCCACACUGGGACUGAGACACGGCCCAGACUCCUACGGGAGGCAGCAGUGGGGAAUAUUGGACAAUGGGGGGAACCCUGAUCCAGCCAUGCCGCGUGUGUGAAGAAGGCCUUAUGGUUGUAAAGCACUUUAAGCGAGGAGGAGGCUACUUUAGUUAAUACCUAGAGAUAGUGGACGUUACUCGCAGAAUAAGCACCGGCUAACUCUGUGCCAGCAGCCGCGGUAAUACAGAGGGUGCGAGCGUUAAUCGGAUUUACUGGGCGUAAAGCGUGCGUAGGCGGCUGGUGAGGGCCCAAAUGAAAUCCCUUAACUUUAAUUCUGGGAUACGGUACUCCACAGGCGGUCAACAUAUGGGGUGAACAGGAUGGUUAAAUCCCCCAGUGGCCCGAUGAGCUGGAAAAUGUCGUUGAGGGUUGGCAAUACCGGGAUCUCUCAUCGUGUUUGCUCCCAACGCUUUAGUACCAAAGCGUCGGUAUCACGCCAGAUCGAAGCCCCCGGUUUCGGUUUCCCCCAAAAUUUUUCCCAAUUCAGCGGGGCCCUGGGAGUUUUACGGGCCCCUCCAAACGGUUGUUCACCCUUCGGGAAGGUUUUGCCAAGUACACCAGGGGUAUUUUACUCGCAAGUAGCCCGCCCCCGCAGCCGAUUUUGCCGUUUAAUUUACUGAAACGGGGAGCACCCCCUUGGUCACGACGUAGGGGCUGCUUAAUGAAGGUUGUUUGCUGCCCGCAAGAAUCUCGAAUCAAGUUCUUGAAAGAAAAAAAGACCCCCCCGCCCCGGGAAAAUUUGGUUAAAUCCCAGAAAGGGGGUCUUACCCUUUCCCUUGGGGGGGGAAAGGUUUUGGCCCGCCCUUUUUAGGAACCCCCCCCUGGCCCCCCCGGGGGAAAGGGGGGGGGGAUUUGUUUUUCUUUUGGGGGUGGGAAGACCCGGGCCACAAAAAUUGUAAAACGGGGGGGGGAGGGUGGGGUCCCCCCCCCAGGGUUUUG